UUCAAGACGCAACACCACGAAAGUCAGGGCACGUAAACGUGCGAAUGCACAAAUUAUGUACUGUGGGUGGUUUCCUGUGAGGUUUUCUACUCGUAUCUCUUAGAGAAUGUGGACGUGUGCUUCAUGUUUAAAAGGGUCUGGUUCUGAGGUACCCCUUUUUACACUCAACUCGCAAAACUGUGCAUUACUGAUCAUUUGUUUAAUGUCACAAUGUUAACACUGAUUGACCACUGCCUAGCAUGAUCAACAGGUGGUUCAUUCAAAAGGUUUCCUAUGAGCUGUUUUCAUUUAAUUUUUCCUGAGUAACAGGAACUCAUGGUUUCAUGGUGUAACCACCUGCAUCCUUCUUCUGAAGUGGAGACAGAAGUAUGAAAAUAUGGGAAAACAUACCUGAAUCUACUCACCGGGUUAGAUAAGGCUAGGCCUGAUAAAGAUUUAAAAAAAAUAAGCUGCAUCUGAAAACACUCAAAAUUUUCUCGUUAAUGUUUUGCAUUCUGCCCAAUAGUCAUGUGCCUUUUGAAUGGAUGCCAACAGCCGAAGGCAUCGGGGAUGCGUCUGCUCUGACCCGUCUCACACCCUGACUCCAUUCACCACCCAGCGUGGAGAGUGUGAGAAAAGAGGGAGGACGAAGAGCAGAGACAAAGUGAAGCGGAGAGAGAGGCUGCUUUUGUGACCGGGGAGACAACAGGCUUUGUCCCGCAGCAUCAUGGGGGCACAAGGGCCACCAAUGUCAAGAAAACAAAGACCAGAGGCACCUCUAUGCUUCGCAAACACACACACACACACACACACACACACACACACACACACACACACACUCAUAGACUUCCUUCUGAAGGGACAAGAACGUGACAGUGGCCAGAGCUGGAAGAGGAUGGAAGAGCAAAUAAACAGACAAUGCAGCUGUGUUGUGCUGUGGGUCUUUGCAUGCAACCAUGCAUGUAUCCACACAGAGAUGCACAGUGGAAGCAGCCAGACUGUGGUUGGUACCAUUACAGUAAACACAGAUGGCAGGAGGGCCAAAUAGAUAGCUCCAAGACAGAACACGUCUACGGGGCUUUGGUGGCUGCCUCCAAGAGACGUGCAAAGUGGGGUCACUGUCAAACUGGGAGGAAACAAUCAAAUAACAGAUUACGCUCACUAGCCACUGGGCGUUAAUUAAAUUAGGACAAUUAAACAUCUAUGUGCGCAGUGCAUUUCGGUCUCCGCAAGAAUAAUUAGAAAAGCAGCACACAUCCUGCGCACACUCCCGAAGUGUGAAGAUCACUGCCGCGUGCCUUCAGACGCACCUUGUGCCAAUUAACUAAUUAAUUAUUCCCACCAGCCCGAGCAAACGAGCGGCCCGCUGACUCGUGAUUUGGACCUAAACACAACAGCAGCCCGUAAGAAGCCAUCCAUGAUAGAAAAUGCAAAGCCGGGGCAAACUUCGCCUCUUAUAAAAUUGAGAGAGAUUGCGACCGAAAGCAAAUGCGACAAGCCUCCUCUGAAAAGUAGCCCUGCCACCUCAAGCAUGAAAUAAAUCUCAUAAUAUCAGCGGAGCAUCAGCCGUUCAUCUUAUAUCAGCGCCGAGUCACAUACAAGAAAAUGGAGAUCUGAUAAUGAGAAAAUGCUAGACGCUAAUGAAGGCCCUGUGGCUGGAGUUCCUUACCCAUGUCUGGAAGGACGCGUUCAAGACUUGUUGCGCUACUGCCGCCCGCACUGCAGCUGGUCCACUGAUGAUAUGCGCAACUUGUCUCCGGCCCCCGUAUAUCAAUCUCAACUCGCGUUCUGUUCCCCCCCAACAAUGGACAGAGCCGCUGAUGACUGCGAGUGCAAUCUUAAAGAAACAAUGUCGCUUUUCAAUGAACUCCAGGGCGGAGAAUAAUGAGGAGGUCAGGGUUCUUAAACCUGCAGACAUCUACUAAGUUCAUUGUUGGUGCUGCUUCGCUUGCGCAGAGAGAGAGAGAGAGAGAGAGAAAGCGAGCCACGUCGGAGAGGGAUAAUAUAGGAGAAAUAUUGGAGAGGGAAGGACAACUCUCAUUCUUCUCUUAGCUGGCCACCAAGCUUAUAACCACUCUAGGCCUUUUGGUUUAAAAAAAGCCUCACGAGUGAUAACAUCUUCAGGGUAGGACAGGAAAAAAAAAAAAAAAAAAGAACCACGUUGAUUGAGACUGAUGAGGCGUCUAAGAUUGUUUUAUGUUUUCUAUUAUGAAGUGGUGGUUCCUAGAUACUGUCUGUUUUGACGCUAGCUUUGGCGAUAUAGACAUCAACAUGACAUACCUCACAUGGAAGUUUAAGAAACAUAAAGCCAAAAGUGAUCCCUCAUUUCUUAGCUUCUUAGCUUUCUAGCUCUUCAAGCCCGGAAUGUUCCUCUGAAAGCAAACAUAAUGUCGCACUCACGCUCCAUGAAGAUGUGUGUAAACAACACAGUAGAUAAAGUCAGAUUGAGCUUUUUUAAUUGUGUAUUGAAUGAAUGGCCUCGCCGGUGUUUAAAUCGGUCGACUGUUGCUGUAUGCAUCGCGUGAUCGUAAACGCCAUAUGAUGUGUGCCUCGCACAUAUUCCACCGGGUAAUUUCUGGGGUCAGUGCGAGCUCACGCGACCUCCCAGCCCUCUAUCUAUCAAAUGUUCGGUUUGAGAGAGGGAAAAAUGGAUUUGAUUAAGAUGAAAUGUGCUGCGAGUGGCGCCGAGCAGCAUGCAGCGGGGAAACAUCACUGAUCUCCGGCGACCUGACUGUGGCGAGAGUGAGACUCUGUCCUCUGCUUCAUCCCCACCCUCUGGCCAAAUACCAAGAAUGAAAAGAUUAUUUAUUUAUUUUUUUCCCAAUCUUCAUCAUCUACGCCCAGUAGAUGGCAGGCUUUCUCCUGCCAUGACAUUUGUUUGACAGUGUGUUUAGCCUUACGACACAAUACCUUUCUUCUAUUUAUGUUUAUUUAUUUACUUUUGGGGAAAAAAAGAAGUCCCUUUUGGCAAGAAGAAUACGACGCUGUAAAAACGUUGAUAAUUCGAAAAAAGUUUUAUUACUUUUUUAUAAAUACGACAGGGCUGCUUUUAUAUGACAUUGUACACGUUUUAAUUCAAUGAGUUGCUUCACGUAUUAAGUAAAGAUGCAACAUUAAUUUGUAA